rnacentral:lncRNA from 1 species
GGGGUCCUUAUUUAUAGAUAGAGGGUGUAACUGACCAACAGCGACGUCUGUAACCAUCUGGUCGUGGACCGCUCAGAGUCGCGUGGAGUUUGUUACGGAGAGUAAUGGCAUCAGGGAUCGUUCAGGGCCACGUGGAGCUCGUUGCAGAGAGUGGAGUGGUGUCCAUUCCACUCAGAGCCACGUGGAGUUUGUUACGGAGAGUAGUGGCGUCAGGGGUCGUUCAGGGCCAUGUGGAGCUUGUUGCAGAGAGUGGAG